GUGGGUAUGGUUCACUAGUAGAGUGCAUGCUUAGCAGACAGGAGGUCCUGGGUUCAAUCCCCAGUACCUCCA
rnacentral:tRNA from 1 species